GGUCGAGGCCGCGCGCGAUUCUGCCGCACACCGCCGCGUCGGUUGGUUCCUCUUGCGCGCCCUCUUUCUCGAAACGACUUCUGAGGGACAUAUGCGCAGUUAACGUGAGUGAUCAGCAAUCUCCUAUGGCCUGCUCACCAUUGCGGCUGCACCUCCACCUCCAGCUAAAGGUGAACCGUUGUGAAUCGCGGUGCAUAUCGGCGGUGCGGUGGUUAUACGUCGAUGGUGUUGUUCCGCGACGUGACGGAAUCUGUUGAAUACAUCAAUGUGGCCGCUCCGCCGACGCCGACGCCGACACCACCGCCGCGACCAGCGGCAGCGGUGCCGGGACCACGCCAUGCAACUACAUUAUGCAACUUACAUCUGACACAUGCGCUGCAGUAUCCGAUGUUAUGGUUAAAAGAAGAUUUCAUCUGAAGGUACUGAACGGGAGUUAAACGCCGCGCCGCAUCGUGAGCCUUAACUACAAACAUCGUUGGUAGCAACAUUUAAGUAAAAAAAUCAGAACUAAAAAAAUUUCUACACAUUAUGCAAUAUAUUCCUAACUUGAAAUUGGCAUAAUAUACGUCAAUCGCCAUUAAAAAAAAAGUGGAGUAUAGUAAAAUAUAAUUCUUAUAAUAUUUAUAGUACUCGAUGCUAAAUUGACUAUAAAUGCGAAUUCAAACUACUAUUUUAAUAUAAAGAAGAUAAUGAAUAGUUAUUUACAAUUUUGGAAAUUACUUUUAUGACAGUUUUAAUUCAAUUUCUAAUGCCUAAGCCUAAGACUGCAGGAGCAAACCUUCGCAAGUCAACAGAAUUAUAGGGAUCUAUCUCUACUACGGCGGUAUAGAGCAGUUUUCUGUUGCAGUCUAUAGGCCAUGGUCUUAUACAUGUUUUUUAUUUAUCGAGGAAAGCAUGACAGCAUUCCUCCAGGAACGUCAUAAAACUCAUGGGAGCCUAACUCGAGAGUGAUUGAUCGAAGACAUACAAACGUUACAGGUCAUUUAGUCUUGAGUAUGGGCUUCCGGUGCUGGUGGCCUUCUCCUUGGCAAGAACUUACGAAUGGAGAUUCAGAAGAGAAAAGAAGAUAAGGUUGGCCGCGUUGGCAGUGUGGUUAGCUGGUUGUUUAUGUCAUAACAACAGCCACUAGCGACACUGCCUCUGCGUGCAACCUAAAGCAUCGAAGACUACUAGAAAAAACCAACAGUUUGCCAUUUUUGUAUUGAUUCAGAUUUGUAAUUUGAUUUGUAUAUGAAUGUACGCUUAGUCUAGCCUUUAUUUACUUAUAUAUAAGGAUUGUACAUGUUACUUUUUGUUGAAAUUGCUGAAUGUUAAGCUCUGCAUUGUAGAUAGAGAGUUAGGAUAAGAUGUUAAAUAUGUUUUGCGAAGCGAUUGUAUGAACGAUCUAAUUUUAACGAGUCUAAUGAUUGAUCUUAUAAGAUUUGCAGGUUCAAAGAAGAGUGAAGAAAGGUACAAUGAAAGAAAGGUCAAUGAUGAAGGUAGAGCUCUACAUUAAGAACUAGCUUCUGCUUGUGGUUCCUCAUACAUGGAAAUUCUGUUCCUGAGAUUAAAAAGUAGCCUAGUACUCAUGAAUAAUGUGGCUUCCUAAUCGUGAAAGAAUGAUUAAUUGAAAUGUAGGCGCAUUAGUUCUAAAGAAUUAUAGCGUGCUCAGAGAAACAAAUUUAUAUGAUACAAAAAAUAGUAUAUAUAAUGUAAUAAAUUGUCAUAAAAUCCAUUACAAUGGUUUAGUCAUCGCUUUAGGAACUGUAAAAAUUUUGUUACAUAUUCGACACCUUGAAGUUAUUGGCAUUCUUCAUGCUUUAUAUCGACUAAAGAAUAUCCUUUCUUGUAAAACCAAUAACAUGCUUGCGCAACCUUAAUCCUUCCUGUAGUAGAUUGCAGUGAUCCAAUGUUGUUCUGGAUGCAGAUCUGCUCAACAAACGUGACACUUCUGAAUACCAUCGAUUAACUUUUAAUAUCAAGUAUGACCAUGUUUCUCGUUGCCGCUCUCAAUUUAAGUAGUUGCCAUUUUUGAUCGCUGAAAUCUUACUUUUUUAUCACCCCUACUUCUCCCUUUCACUUAAUAUUUUAAUGUACAGCAUUUACCAACGAGAAACCUACGCUCUGCAGGCAAUCUUCCCUAUAUCCUUACAGUUCCAACAUCACUCACAGGUCUUUUACUGUGCAGUCUAUAAAACUUUGGAAUACGCUUCUUUUAAAAAACGGGGCAUCCACUAACACAUAGACUUUUAAAUCAAUAGUCUGGAUGCUUUUCGUUAAUAGUGCAGCAGAUUUAUAACCAUAUACUUAAGUUUCAAAAAGUUAUGUUAUAUUUAUAGAAUCUGGAUAUGUAUUUGUAUUUAUGCGGGUAUUUUAAUAUGUAUUCAUGUAUUAUCUUAUAGCUGUUAUAAGUUAAUUUAUGUACCUAGUAUGUCUCAUUUUUGUUGGAUAUACACGCACAGUGUCGCCUUGACCCUACCCAAAGAUUUCAAUAAACGAUCCCGAUCUUAAUCUGCGAUUCAAUCUCGAGAAUGAACCAAUUCUGAUUGGUCCAUUUUCGCGAUCGAUCAAAAAAGAGCGACUGGGAUUGUUUACUACAAUCGGCGGAUAUUUGAAAUUAUUUUGUGAUUGACUAAAUUUUGCCUAACUUGAUAUUGGUAUAAUGUAACACAAUUGCCACAACAAAAAAAACACAAAUUUGCCCGAGUCAGACAUUAAAAUCAGGACUUCACCAGUCGAAAAGGUA